GAUGAACGCUGGCGGCGUGCCUAAUACAUGCAAGUAGAACGCUGAAGGAGGAGCUUGCUCUUCUGGAUGAGUUGCGAACGGGUGAGUAACGCGUAGGUAACCUGCCUGGUAGCGGGGGAUAACUAUUGGAAACGAUAGCUAAUACCGCAUGACAACAGUUAUUGCAUGAUAACUGUUUAAAAGGGGCAACUGCUCCACUACCAGAUGGACCUGCGUUGUAUUAGCUAGUUGGUGAGGUAACGGCUCACCAAGGCGACGAUACAUAGCCGACCUGAGAGGGGGGUCGGCCACACUGGGACUGGGACACGGCCCAGACGCCUACGGGAGGCAGCAGUAGGGAAUCUUCGGCAAUGGACGGAAGUCUGACCGAGCAACGCCGCGUGAGUGAAGAAGGUUUUCGGAUCGUAAAGCUCGGUUGUAAGAGAAGAACGAGUGUGAGAGUGGAAAGUUCACACUGUGACGGUAUCUUACCAGAAAGGGACGGCUAACUACGUG
rnacentral:rRNA from 1 species